rnacentral:rRNA from 1 species
ACGCUCGACACCUACGGGAGCAGCAGUGGGGAAUAUUGCACAAUGGGGGAAACCCUGAUGCAGCGACGCCGCGUGAGUGAAGAAGUAUUUCGGUAUGUAAAGCUCUAUCAGCAGGGAAGAAGAUGACGGUACCUGAGUAAGAAGCCCCGGCUAACUACGUGGCAGCAGCCGCGGUAAUCUGAGCGGGCUGGCAAGGC